rnacentral:rRNA from 1 species
UACGUAGGGUGCGAGCGUUGUCCGCAAUUAUUGGGCGUAAAGAGCUUGUAGGCGGUUUGUCGCGUCUGCCGUGAAAAUUCGAGGCUCAACCUCGAACUUGCGGUGGGUACGGGCAGACUAGAGUGUGGUAGGGGAGACUGGAAUUCCUGGUGUAGCGGUGAAAUGCGCAGAUAUCAGGAGGAACACCGAUGGCGAAGGCAGGUCUCUGGGCCACUACUGACGCUGAGAAGCGAAAGCAUGGGGAGCGAACAGG